GGGUCCGUAGCUCAGGUGGUUAGAGCGCGCGCCUGAUAAGCGCGAGGUCCCUGGUUCGAGUCCAGGCGGGCCCACCA
rnacentral:tRNA from 1 species